UACGUAGGGUGCAAGCGUUGUCCGGAAUUAUUGGGCGUAAAGAGCUCGUAGGCGGUUUGUUGCGUCUAUCGUGAAAACCUGCAGCUUAACUGUGGGCUUGCGGUGGAUACGGGCAGACUUGAGUUCGGUAGGGGAGACUGGAAUUCCUGGUGUAGCGGUGAAAUGCGCAGAUAUCAGGAGGAACACCGGUGGCGAAGGCGGGUCUCUGGGCCGAUACUGACGCUGAGGAGCGAAAGCGUGGGGAGCGAACAGG
rnacentral:rRNA from 1 species